UGACCACGGCCGCCACAUCAGCGCUCCAGGCAGGGUCGCAGGCCUGCUCGAUGCGCUCCAGAACCACGCUGUCCCACUGCUUCUUGGCCAGGGUGAACUGGCGGUUGGGCUCCAGCUCGAUGGUGUGCUGGUUUUCUGGCUCCUGAAUAGGAAGAGAUCCUGGCCUUGUUUCUGCUUCCUUUCAUGCUUGGAGAUAAGAUCCUGGAAGCUCAGAAAACACCAAGAAGAGGAUAAAUGUCAAGAAAACUAUACCCUAAACUAUCAUAUGAAAAUGAUUGAGAAGCAAAGAUAAUGAAAAAAAUCCUGAAAGAAACCUGUGGGAAAAAUGUGUCAACUACAUAGGAGCAAAGAUAAGGAUUACAUCCAAGUUCUCUCAAGAAAACAUUCAAGUGUGAAGAGAAUGGAGUUAAAAAGUGCUGAGAAAAACAAAAACAACAUGCAACAAUCUAUAAUUCCAUAUCGGGACAAGUUAUCCCCCCACUAAAGCAAAAGAAAUAAAGACUUUCUCAAACAAAAAUUGAGGGAAUUUGUUGCCAGAAACCCUGUUUUGCAAGGAAUGUUGUAAGAAGUUCUUUAGGGGGCUAGCACUGUGGCAUAGCAGGUAAAGCUACCACCCACGAAGCUGGCACCCAUAUUGGUUCAUGUCCCAGCUGCUCUGCUUCUGAUAUAGUUCUCUGCUAAUAGCCCGAGAAAGGCAAUGAAAGAUGGCCCAAGUGUUUAUGCCCCUGCCACCCACAUGGGAGACCUGGAUGGAGCUCCUGGCUCCUGGCCCCUAACCGUGGCUGCUGUGGCCAUCUGGGGAGUGAACUAGCAGAUAAUCUCUCUUUUUUGGUAACUGUGACUUUCAAAAUAAACAAAUUUAAAAAAAUAAGUUUUUUUAAAGACUUUCUUAGAAAGGAAGAUGAUGUAGAUCAGAAAUUGGGAUCUAUGUAAAGAAAGGAAGCGCAUUAGAGAAAAAUUGUGAAGAUUUUGUUUCUUAAUUGAUCCAACACAUAACACUUUAUUAAAAAAUAAUAAUUUAAUUAUUUUUGAAUGCAUAUGUGUAUAUAUACAUAUACUUCUGCCUAAGUGAAAUUAAUGGCAGAAACGAUACAAAAGAAGAAUGAAUUAGGAAGAAAGGAAUUGGGAUUCUUUUGUUAUUAUAAGGGAUUGGCAUUAUUUGUAAGCAAUGCAGUGCUGAUUGAAAGUUAAUCUGAUACAGUUGUAAAUGUAUAUUGCAAACUUUAAGUAAACCACUAAAAAAGUAGGAUAAUUUAUAACUAAGAGAAAAUAAGAUCACAGAAGAUGCUGUAUUAAAAUUACAAAAGGCAGAAAGAGUGGAAAUAAACAACAGGAACAUAAAAUAUAGACAGUAGAUAGAAAACGGUAAUGAAUGAUACUUACUCAACUAUAUCAAUCCUUUGAAUAUCAAUGCUGUAAAUGUACCAAUUAAAAGAGAGGUCAUCAGAGUGGGUCAAAAUUUAAGAACCUAUAUAUGUUGUCUAUAAGAAUUCCACUUUAAAUGUAAAGAUUGUCUUAAAUUAAAAGUAAAUGGAUGUGUCAACAGGAAGUAGCUCUAAAGACAGAUCAUUGUCCCUGUACCCCUCCUGGACUUUUGGGACUAAUGUAAUCCCAUACAACUCCUGCUUUAUAAAAAACAAAAGGGGGGAAUAUUAGUAAUAUGGUGCAGUCUAAUCUAUGGCGCAUCUACACCUUGACACCAGCCUAGGCUCUAGUCCCUGCCGCCAUUGCUGGAAACCAAGUGGCCACAUGGCCCAACCACUGGUGUCAAGCUCCACCCCCAUCCUAAUGGGAUUUGCUGCUCCUACUCCCCCCCCCCCAAAGUUUUAAAAGGACCUGCUCCUGAAUGCGUGGUACUCGCUCUCUGUCUCCUGAACUCUGUCUCUGUCUCUCUCUCUUACGCUCUCCUUUUCCCUCUUUUCCUUCUUCGCCCCUUCCCUCCAGUCUGUUAGGUUUCCCCCAAUAAACUCUUUCCCUUAAAAGAAAAGUAAAUGAAUGGAAAGAGAUAGCCCAGGCUAAUACCUACCAAAGAAAAAAUGUGAGUUAUUAUAUUUAUUUCAGAAUAUACACCAGAGCAAAGUUAGCAGGGAUAGAGAAGGUCAUUAUAUAAUAUUAAAGUGGUCAAGAAAAUGUAACAAUUCUUAGUGUAUAUGUAAAUGAUAAGAGUAUCAACACAUGUGAUACAUAUUUCUUCUGAUCCCGUAGCAUUAAAAUGAUAAUAAAAUAAUACUAUGAAAACCCCUAUGACCACAAAUAAAGAAUACUAUAAACAAUUCUAUGCUCACAAGUUUAGUAACCUGGAUGACAUACACCAAUUCCUUUAAAGUCAAACUAGGAAAACUAACACAAGAAGAAAUCAGUGAUCUGAAUAGGAAUAUACCUAUUGGAGAAAUUAAUUCAAUAACCAAUAAAAAUCCAAAGCACUAGUCUCAGGUGGUUUACUGGUAAAUUCUAUAAGACGUUUAAUAACAAAAUUAUACCAAUUCUCUGCAAUUUAUUCUAGAUGAUAGGGUCAGAGAAAACACUUCUUGUUCAUUAUUUAAUUAAUAUAAAGAGAACAGAUUUCAUGUGUUUCACAAGUACAAUUCUAAGAAGCUAACCAUAUUUCCCUUCCUUUAUCCUCCCUCCCUUAAUUCCUUCUCCUUCCUUCCUUUCUUUUUGUCCUUUACUUUUUUUUCUUUUUUUUUAACUUUUAUUUAAUGAAUAUAAAUUUCCAAAGUACGACUUAUGGAUUACAAUGGCUUCCCCCACAUACCGUCCCUCCCACCCACAACCCUCCCCUUUCCCACUCCCUCUCCCCUUCCAUUCACAUCAAGAUUCAUUUUCGAUUAUCUUAAUAUACAGAAGAUCAGCUUAGUAUACCUUAAGUAAGGAUUUCAACAGUUUGCUCCCACACAGAAACAUAAAGUGAAAAAUAAUAGAUGAUUUU